rnacentral:rRNA from 1 species
GACGAACGCUGGCGGCGUGCCUAAUACAUGCAAGUUGAGCGCUGAAGGUUGGUACUUGUACCAACUGGAUGAGCAGCGAACGGGUGAGUAACGCGUGGGGAAUCUGCUUCUGAUCGGGGGACAACAUCUGGAAACGACUGCUAAUACCGCAUAAAAACUUUAAACACAAGUUUCAAGUUUGAAAGAUGCAAUUGCAUCACUCAAAGAUGAUCCCGCGUUGUAUUAGCUAGUUGGUGAGGUAAAGGCCCACCAAGGCGAGGAUACAUAGCCGACCUGAGAGGGUGAACGACCAAAUUGGGACUGGGGCACGGCCCAAACUCCUACGGGAGGCAGCAGGAGGGAAUCUUCGGCAAUGGGCGAAAGUCUGACCGAGCAACGCCGCGUGAGUGAAGGAAGUUUUCGGAUCGUAAAACUCUGUUGGUAGAGAAGGACGUUGGGGAGAGUAGAAAGCUCAUCAAGUGACGGUAACUACACAGAAAGGAACGGCUAACUACGUG